ensembl:lncRNA
GCUUUUUUUACAGAUGAAAUGAGCCAAAAAAGAAGUUUUAACUCGGACUGAAAAGUCAAAAAUUAUUAAAUCCCCAUGAGAAUUAUUCAAAACUAUUGCAAUAUAGAAAUUGCAAAAUUUCGACAUGAUCAUUGGACAAAAAAAUGCUGACUGGGACAGUGGAGUUUGAAAAAAAAAAAAAAGGUGGAGAAAAGACACAAGUUAACUGCAAAAGAAUUAAGAAUUAAGACUUUUCAGAAUAGAAGAUGGAAUAAAAAUGCGCUCCCCAAACUUACUGCCAGAUUCUGGAACAGGGGUCAGGAACCUUUUUUGACCAAAAAGCAAAAUUUUUAUUUUUGGUUAAGAGCCAUUUUUCCAAAAGGGCAUAUAUAUAUGUGCUUGGAAAAUAUCAUCUGAAUAUCAAGUGCCUAAUAAUGAUGCACGCCGUGCAAAGAAUUUUUAAUGAUUUUAUUGAUCUAUAAGCAUUUGUAAAAUAUUUUUGCCGGCAUUACAGCUUGGUCUUCAUCUGUGAGCUUAUCUGUUUUACUGUUACAUCAUGAGUUGUGUAAAUUCAGAUAAAUUUCAUGUCACAGGAUGUCAUAG